GCUGAGGCCGACAGGCGUAGGCGAUGGAUAACAGGUUGAUAUUCCUGUACCACCUAUAAUCGUUUUAAUCGAUGGGGGGACGCAGUAGGAUAGGCGAAGCGUGCGAUUGGAUUGCACGUCUAAGCAGUAAGGCUGAGUAUUAGGCAAAUCCGGUACUCAUUAAGGCUGAGCUGUGAUGGGGAGAAGACAUUGUGUCUUCGAGUCGUUGAUUUCACACUGCCGAGAAAAGCCUCUAGAUAGAAAAUAGGUGCCCGUACCGCAAACCGACACAGGUAGUCAAGAUGAGAAUUCUAAGGUGAGCGAGCGAACUCUCGUUAAGGAACUCGGCAAAAUGACCCCGUAACUUCGGGAGAAGGGGUGCUCUUUAGGGUUAACGCCCAGAAGAGCCGCAGUGAAUAGGCCCAAGCGACUGUUUAUCAAAAACACAGGUCUCUGCUAAACCGUAAGGUGAUGUAUAGGGGCUGACGCCUGCCCGGUGCUGGAAGGUUAAGAGGAGUGGUUAGCUUCUGCGAAGCUACGAAUCGAAGCCCCAGUAAACGGCGGCCGUAACUAUAACGGUCCUAAGGUAGCGAAAUUCCUUGUCGGGUAAGUUCCGACCCGCACGAAAGGCGUAACGAUUUGGGCACUGUCUCAACGAGAGACUCGGUGAAAUCAUAGUACCUGUGAAGAUGCAGGUUACCCGCGACAGGACGGAAAGACCCCGUGGAGCUUUACUGUAGCCUGAUAUUGAAAUUCGGCACAGCUUGUACAG
rnacentral:rRNA from 1 species